rnacentral:rRNA from 1 species
AGCAAACGCUGGCGGCGUGCCUAAUACAUGCAAGUCGAACGAGGGAAGGCUCCGGCCGAGUACUAGUGGCGCACGGGUGAGUAAUACGUGGAUAAUCUUCCCUUAGGUGGGGAAUAACCAGUCGAAAGACUGGCUAAUACCCCAUAAGAUCACAGUAUCUGAGGAUGCUAGUGGUUAAAGGUUUUUUCGCCGUGAGGAUGAGUCCGCGUCCGAUUAGCUAGUUGGCGGGGUAAUGGCCCACCAAGGCGAUGAUCGGUAACUGGUCUGAGA